rnacentral:lncRNA from 1 species
GUCAGGCCAGCUUUGCUGCAGCCCCGAAGCCACGCCCCGAGGCCCCAGUCCCGCCCCCCGAAUCCACGAGGCCCCGCCCAGACCCCGCCCCUACGUCCCGCUUCCGCCCGCAGUUUGGGAUCAGCGUAGCUCCCGGCAGUCUUGACUGUGUUCUAGGGCCUAGGAUCCCCGGCGCUGUUUCUCCGUGUCAUCGCACUAGCGUGUAUGGGGCACCGACUAUGUGCCAGGCCUGAGGGAUACAGCGGCCACCAAGAUAGAGGGGGGUCCUAAUGAGAGGAGAAAACAGACAAGACCCAAGGAAACAGCCAGUAGUUUAUAAUAAUAACGAGUUCUGAUCAUAAAUGUUGGGAGGUGCAUGAUUAGCGGAAUUAGAUGGAGAACAAGGGGAAGGGGCCUCUGCUUCACACGCGGUGGCCUAGGAAGACCUGGACGUCAGGACUGUGGCCAGAGCGCCUCCUGGCUUUACCCUCCGUUGGGGGAGGCAAUCCUGUAAUAAGGUCACCUAUCCAUUAUGGUGGGCAGAGUAGGGAAUGGCAGCCUAGCCUGAAGGGUCAGCGUGGACAGCCAGGUGGAGAGAAGGGCAGAGCUGACUUCAGCAGAGAAAACGACCGGUGCAAAGGCUCUGAGGCCUGAAGGAGCUGGUCCUAGGUGGGACCAGGUAUAUGAUGUUGGUUCUGCCAUGUCCCCUUCUCCACCAGGAUAACCACUGGCCUUAGAAACUCACGCGUUUCAUGUCUGCAUAAUGCAUGGCUAUUGAAUUUAUAAUCAGGAAAAUACAAUUAGUUUUAUUUUUUACAAAAGAAAGACAACACCAAAAUUACCCAACACUCAGAUCUCCAGGAUUUGGUGCCACUGAAAAUCCACAACUGCCCCUGGCUUACUGGUAUUCUUGGAAGAGUCAUUCUCCCUCUCAAGGCUUUUGCUUCCUCAACUAAAAACUGAAAGGAAUUAACUUUGUCAGUGGUUUCCUCAGAACUAUUCCUAUAUAUCUAAGAUUUUAUUGCUAUUAUAAAUUAUAUUUUCAAAUUUAUGUGUAUUGUAUUGAUAGUUAGUGAAACAUGGUUGGUUUUUAUAUAAUAAUCUUGUAUUCAGCAAACUUGAUUUCUCUUUUGGUUCUAACAAGUUUAUAGACUUUCUUGAAUUUUCUGUGUUAAUAAUCAUAGAGUUUGCAAGUAAUGGUUUUUGGUAUCUUCCUGUCCAAUCUUUAUUUUCUUUCCUUUUCCUUGUUUUACUGUGCUGACUAAAACCUACAGCACAAUGUUGAAUCGCAAUUAUGAUAGUGGGCAUUUCUAUCUUGUUCUUGACUGCUUGUAACACGUCACCAUUAAUAUUGUGUUGGCUGUAGAUUUUUGAUAGAUGUGCUUUAUCAGGGUAAGGAGGCACUGUUCUGCUUUAUUAUGAAUGGAUGUUGAAUUUUAUAAAAUGUGAGAUUUUUUUUUCACCCAAAUGUUAUGAAUUACAAUCAUGGAUUUUAUUAUAUUAAACCUACCGUGCAUUCCUUGAAUAAACACAACUUGAUGAUGCGUUA